rnacentral:rRNA from 1 species
AUUGAACGCUGGCGGCAGGCCUAACACAUGCACGUCGAGCGGAUGACGGGAGCUUGCUCCUUGAUUCAGCGGCGGACGGGUGAGUAAUGCCUAGGAAUCUGCCUGGUAGUGGGGGACAACGUUUCGAAAGGAACGCUAAUACCGCAUACGUCCUACGGGAGAAAGCAGGGGACCUUCGGGCCUUGCGCUAUCAGAUGAGCCUAGGUCGGAUUAGCUAGUUGGUGAGGUAAUGGCUCACCAAGGCGACGAUCCGUAACUGGUCUGAGAGGAUGAUCAGUCACACUGGAACUGAGACACGGUCCAGACUCCUACGGGAGGCAGCAGUGGGGAAUAUUGGACAAUGGGCGAAAGCCUGAUCCAGCCAUGCCGCGUGUGUGAAGAAGGUCUUCGGAUUGUAAAGCACUUUAAGUUGGGAGGAAGGGCAGUAAGCUAAUACCUUGUUGUUUUGACGUUACCGACAGAAUAAGCACCGGCUAACUCUGUGCCAGCAGCCGCCGUAA